rnacentral:rRNA from 1 species
CAGGCCUAACACAUGCAAGUCGAACGAGAUCCUUCGGGGUCUAGUGGCGCACGGGUGCGUAACGCGUGGGAAUCUGCCCCCCGGUUCGGGAUAACUCAGCGAAAGUUGAGCUAAUACCGGAUGAUGACGAAAGUCCAAAGAUUUAUCGCCGAGGGAUGAGCCCGCGUAGGAUUAGCUAGUUGGUGGGGUAACGGCCUACCAAGGCGACGAUCAGUAGCUGGUCUGAGAGGAUGAUCAGCCACACUGGGACUGAGACACGGCCCAGACUCCUACGGGAGGCAGCAGUGGGGAAUAUUGGACAAUGGGCGCAAGCCUGAUCCAGCCAUGCCGCGUGAGUGAUGACGGCCUUAGGGUUGUAAAGCUCUUUUCUCCGGGACGAUAAUGACGGUACCGGAGGAAUAAGCCCCGGCUAACUUCGUGCCAGCAGCCGCGGUAA